GUUGUACUUUAUAACGUAGCAAACUGCUCAGUAACACGUGGCCAAACUGCCCUAUGGACUGGAAUAACCUCGGGAAACUGAGGCUAAUUCCGGAUAGCACAUCCAGCCUGGAAAUGGAGGAUGUGUGAAACGCUCCGGCGCCAUAGGAUGUGGCUGCGGCCGAUUAGGUAGACGGUGGGGUAACGGCCCACCGUGCCGAUAAUCGGUACGGGUCAUGAGAGUGAGAGCCCGGAGACGGACUCUGAGACACGAGUCCGGGCCCUACGGGGCGCAGCAGGCGCGAAACCUUUACACUGCACGCCAGUGCGAUAGGGGGACACCGAGUGCGAGGGCAUAGAGCCCUCGCUUUUCUGGACCGUAAGGAGGUCCACGAAUAAGGGCUGGGCAAGACCGGUGCCAGCCGCCGCGGUAACACCGGCAGCCCAAGUGAUGGCCGAUAUUAUUGGGCCUAAAGCGUCCGUAGCUGGCCGUUCAAGUUCGUCGGGAAAUCCACUCGCUUAACGAGUGGGCGUCCGGCGAAAACUGUUCGGCUUGGGACCGGAAGAUCCAAGGGGUACGUCCGGGGUAGGAGUGAAAUCCUGUAAUCCUGGACGGACCACCGAUGGCGAAAGCACCUUGGAAGGACGGAUCCGACAGUGAGGGACGAAAGCUAGGGUCUCGAACCGGAUUAGAUACCCGGGUAGUCCUAGCCGUAAACGAUGCUCGCUAGGUGUGGCGCAGGCUACGAGCCUGCGCUGUGCCGUAGGGAAGCCGUGAAGCGAGCCGCCUGG
rnacentral:rRNA from 1 species